rnacentral:rRNA from 1 species
GUGUCAGCAGCCGCGGUAAUACGUAGGGGGCAAGCGUUGUCCGGAAUUAUUGGGCGUAAAGCGCGCGCAGGCGGUUCUUUAAGUCUGGUGUCUAAUCCUCGGGCUCAACCUGAGGGCGCACGGGAUACUGGGGAACUGGAGUGCAGGAGAGGGAAGUGGAAUUCCACGUGUAGCGGUGAAAUGCGUAGAGAUGUGGAGGAACACCAGUGGCGAAGGCGACUUCCUGGCCUGUAACUGACGCUGAGGCGCGAAAGCGUGGGGAGCAAACAGGAUUAGAUACCCUGGUAGUCC